AACGUAGGAGACGAGCGUUAUCCGGAGUUACUGGGCGUAAAGGGCGUGCAGGCGGUCUGAUAAGUUCGGCGUGAAAUAUUCCGGCUUAACCGGGAUAGGGCGUCGGAGACUGUCGGACUAGAGGGUGAUAGAGGCGUGUGGAAUUCCGGGUGUAGUGGUGAAAUGCGUAGAGAUCGUAAGGAAGACCAGUGGCGAAGGCGGGUCUCUGGACAGUUCCUGACACUGAGGCACGAAGGCCAGGGGAGCAAACGGG
rnacentral:rRNA from 1 species